rnacentral:rRNA from 1 species
AUUGAACGCUGGCGGCAUGCCUUACACAUGCAAGUCGAACGGUAACGCGGGGGCAACCCUGGCGACGAGUGGCGAACGGGUGAGUAAUACAUCGGAACAUAUCCAGUAGCGGGGGAUAACCUAUCGAAAGAUUGGCUAAUACCGCAUACGAUCUACGGAUGAAAGCGGGGGACCGCAAGGCCUCGCACUAUUGGAGUGGCCGAUGUCAGAUUAGCUAGUUGGUGGGGUAAAAGCCUACCAAGGCGACGAUCUGUAGCUGGUCUGAGAGGACGAUCAGCCACACUGGAACUGAGACACGGUCCAGACUCCUACGGGAGGCAGCAGUGGGGAAUUUUGGACAAUGGGCGCAAGCCUGAUCCAGCCAUGCCGCGUGAGUGAAGAAGG